UAGACAAGCCGAUUCACUCGAGGUCCAGCCGUCUCAGCAUAUCUGCCUCCCAGCGAGUACUGAGUUCAUUCCUUGUACUCUGUUUCUACACAAGACCUGUCUGAUAAACCAAGAAUCUUUCUUGCCAAGAGGGUAUUCCAAAGAUGGAGAGCCACUACUGAAAGGAACCUGCCCCUGGUCCCUGCCAACCAAAUCUGUGUCAGUGGCAAGAUGAAAGCACAGUCUGUGAUGAAGAUCUGAGGACCCCGGCAGAUUCAUAUGGGCAGAUCCAGUCCAACAGCUUGGCGAGCUCUGCAAAGCAUUGAUUCAGCCUAGCAACAUCUCCCACAGGGAAAGUAAGACCACACAUAGAGUGGAAAUGCAGCAGAGAGAAACGAGCCACCUUGGAACAGCUCCAGCGCUUAGCUCAGCUGAACAGCGGUGGAUGGAGGACGGGUGCUACAAAUGUGGCAAAAUGCUUAUAUACAAAGCACAUCCAUGCAGGAAAUAAUAUGCAAGUCAUGUGUAAAUGGUCACAUAUGCGUGGCAACAGGGGCAUGAGCAUGCACUUUGUUACAGGAAGGGGUCCGAGAUUACUGCAAACAAAUGCGUGCGGAUAUAUGAACGGAUAUAUAUAGUUAUAGGAAUUAAUACAACUGAAUGUAUAUGGUGUAUAGGCAUACCUUCGCUAUAUACAGGCUCGAGAGCCAUUUUGGAAGGGCGGUAUAUAAAUCAGAUAGAUAGAUAGAUAGAUAGAUAGAUAGAUAGAUAGAUAGAUAGAUAGAUAGAUAGAUAGAUAGAGGCAGCAAUUAGUUUUCUGUCAUUAUUCCACACUUGUCAGCUCACAGUAGAUCUUUAGCACUGGUGUAUCAAAUAACAACAAACGACGACAACAAUACUUUGAGCAAGAAGGGCAAGAAAAUCUUCAAAAACUGGUGUCGCCCCCAUAUGUUCAGCAGUGUAACAUGGACAGUUCCAAGUCACCUGCCCUGUUGCAGGCUCCCAAGGAACUGCUGGAGCACACAUUCUUAAAGCAAAGUGCCUGCUGCACCCCAGAAGCGCUACUUAGGCUGGAGACAAUCCAAGUAGCACGGGCACAUUGCUAUAAGUAUUUAUCUUGUACGAAAAACAACACCACAAGACUGCUGGCAGUUCCUUAGGAGCCAGCAGCAAUAUAGGCUGCUCAAAACUGUCUGCAUUAUGCUGCAGAUAUGUGGGCUAGUAAAAUGUGAUUCCAUCUUGGAUGUGAAGUGCCACACAGUGACCUAG